CUGCCUCUCUCCACCCCACCCCAAUUUCCUAGAAAGCCUUGCACUAUUCAGCUCCCUUAGUGCUUUUUGUCCCUUCCCGAACAAUAUGCAGUAGCUUUAAGCCAUUCAAGCUCCAUUAUGCAGUAUAUCUGAGAAGGGAAAGGAAACAACCCAUUUAAAUUUGAAUAAAACCGUGCCUAUGCGAACAGUAGCAAUUUAGAAUCUCUUUUCUGCUUUUAAAAUAAUUUAUAUUUAAAAAUUGCACUUUAGCUUUUUGAUCCCUUUGUAUUUCUCUUAUUCUCUUUCUAACCUCUUCUCUGUCCUCAAACUUGCCUUUGCUCUCCUUUACAAUACCCCCCACCCCUCCUCCAAGGCUCUGAGCGGCAUCAUUUAAAAUACUUUACAGAUAUUUGCACCAGGUACAUUUAUGUGCGUCCAUUGGUAGCACAGCUGAGACCUGUGUCUCACAUCAGCCUAGGUGAAGCCUACUACAAGAAUGCCAAGGAGAAGAGCCAGUACACUAUAUGGUUUAUACUCUUUAUCCCUUUAUUCAUAGCAUGUUUUUUAAAAAUGUUAUAUUAUGCAACAGAUGUGAGGCAGCAGCUAAGCUAUACUUAAGAAUUUUCUCUCACCUUCCAAACCAAAGUGUCCUGAAUAAGCCAGGAGACUUAUUCUUUUGUGCACCCUGGUGCACAUCUGACUGUUGUCCUAGCCAUAGACUCUCUGAGGCCACUGAAAGAACAGUGGCCCUAUCGAUUUCAUUCCUAGGUCUCAAAAAUACAAUGUUGCCUUGUAACAUAAUUAGGGACAGCACCUCUAUUUCACAAUUAUAAUCUAAGGUAGGAUAAGACGACACAGCAGCAAUAAACUUACAAGUAAAAUUCAAUACCAAAACAAACACAAAGAAAUUUAAAAAACAAAAAACCUAGCUCAUCAUGUUGUGAAAAUGAAAAAGUGAAUGUCCAUUCAAAAUAUUUUACUAUUUCUUGUGGAGUUUUUCAGUGAUGUAAUGCUUGUAGCCAAAUUGCUUAAAGAGUGUUUAUAUAUUUUUUUCCUUAUAAAUUGUCUAUUUUUUAAAAAAGCUAUUUAACCACAGCUGAAGUGGGGGGUAAGGCCAAAUUGCCAACACUUGUUAAAAGAUUAAUACUCUUAAGUGGCACUCUGAUACCUUUCCAACUUGUCAUCAGAAAGGAAUCAAUAAUUACCAACUGUUGUAUUUAGACCAACUUACAAUAUCUAGCUCAUUAGAAGCCAGGAUCUAGAAAGCUCCUUCUAAGCCAUUUAAGAUAUUCUUACAUUGAGCUUCAUAUUAUAGAACUUUAUAGGAUUGGAUAUUUUACAAUAGAAUAAUUUAGCCUCAGGACUGAGAAUGUGGAAGCUGAAUAAAUUAGCUUUAAAUACAUCAUUAAAAUCUUAUGCACAAUAAGCUCAUUAGAUUCUAGUUUUCUCCUUUAGAAUACCAAUGCCACAGACACUACAGGAGAUAAUGAAAGGUAUCAGUUGUGUUGAGUGGAGGGAGUUUAAGAGAAAGGACCCUUCCCAACCAGCAGCCAGUAGAAAAUACAACCUACUCACCUUUUUCCCUUCUAAGUUCUGCUAAAUCACAUCUGCCUCAUAGAGAAAGGAAUGUUGCCUUUGAGAACUGUCUUGGAGAACAGAUAAGCUUGAAAUGUUCUCUCUAGAGAGGACAUAGGGUUUGGGAUCCUCUGAAAAGGCCCAGAAAAAUAGCUCAGUUCAAAUACAAUGUUCUAGGACAAUUGGAAUAUAAAUAUUGUCCAAAAAUAUAAUUAAAAGAAAAAAGUUUAGCACUGUGUAAAGUAAGUGUUAACUGAGGAAGUCCCAAAAAGGUGCUGUCACUUUAAGUUCUGGACUUGGGGUUCUUUGUAUUUGUAAACAGCAAAGCAUUUGUGUUUGUUUGUCUAUUUGUAAAGCAACCACCUUCCUUAUUGGAAGGAGAAAAAAAGGGGUACAUACAUGUAAAUACUUGCUGCAGCAUUUAAUAUGUUUAAUUUUGUGUUAAGCUUUUUGUUGCAUCGUGAACACAUUUAUUGUUACCAAUGGACAAUGAGUUCAUUAAGACUGUUCAACUAGGUCAGAUUUUUACAUCUCUUUCUAGCAAGAAGAGACAAGAUUUUGUGCAUUUGUACAAAUGUUAAUAUCACUGCAAUUCCAAUAUAAUAAAGCACUCAAAUGC
rnacentral:lncRNA from 10 species